rnacentral:lncRNA from 12 species
GUCUGAUUCUGCAAUCUGUGCUCUUGACCACUGUUUCAUGCUACUUUUUAAGUCAUUUAACCUCUCUAUAUCUCAAUUUUUCUAAUAGAAAAGUGGAUUGAAGUAUCUACGCCUGGAAGGUUGGAAGAAUGAAAAAAAAAACAGAAGUACACGUGAAGCUAUAUACACAUUAGGGCACUUCAUUGGAUCUGGAAGAAACCAGAAAUUUUGGGGACCAAGCUGGUGCAUUCUAGGAGAGGAGGGGAAUAGCGCCUCUAUAGAAGUCCAUGUCUAUGCAUUAGGAAACCUGCUUUUUUGAAAAACACCUAUGGAUGGGAAGGGAGUAGAAGGAUUUAUCAGCAACAGUUAAAUCAUAAAGGUCUUAAGUAGUCUAAGAGAAAAUGUAUUUAUGUGUAAUAUUUACAAAACAUAAGUCUAGAAACAAGCAUUGUGAAUACUUCUUGUAUUCAGAAAUUGUUAUGGGAACAAAGAAUUAAAGCAGAGAAUCUCAAAGAAAUUCAGAAUGUGGUUUCUGUCAUAAGAGGUAGGGUUUUCAAGAGAAACGGAAACAAUAGGAUCUGUUUAUAAUAGGACCAAUAUAGAGAGAUUUAUUUUU